UCUGUCGACAGAGAGAUGUAGGGGUAUGUCUACACUACCCUCCUAGUUCGAACUAGGAGGGUAGUGUAGACAUACCCCUACAUC
rfam:Pelodiscus sinensis unplaced genomic scaffold scaffold183, whole genome shotgun sequence.